rnacentral:rRNA from 1 species
UACGUAAGGCGCAAGCGUUGUCCGGAAUUAUUGGGCGUAAAGAGCUCGUAGGCGGUUUGUCGCGUCUGGUGUGAAAACUCGAGGCUCAACCUCGAGCUUGCAUCGGGUACGGGCAGACUAGAGUGCGGUAGGGGAGACUGGAAUUCCUGGUGUAGCGGUGGAAUGCGCAGAUAUCAGGAGGAACACCGAUGGCGAAGGCAGGUCUCUGGGCCGCAACUGACGCUGAGGAGCGAAAGCAUGGGGAGCGAACAGG